rnacentral:rRNA from 1 species
GUGGGGAAUCUUGCGCAAUGGGCGAAAGCCUGACGCAGCAACGCCGCGUGGGGGAUGAAGGCUCUCGGGUUGUAAACCCCUUUCAGCAGGGACGAAUCAAGACGGUACCUGCAGAAGAAGCCCCGGCUAACUACGUGCCAGCAGCCGCGGUAACACGUAGGGGGCAAGCGUUGUCCGGAUUUAUUGGGCGUAAAGAGCUCGUAGGUGGCUGAGUAAGUCGGAUGUCAAAUCCCCAGGCUCAACCUGGGAUCCCAUCCGAUACUGCUCUGGCUAGGGUCCGGUAGGGGAGCGUGGAAUUCGUGGUGUAGCGGUGAAAUGCGCAGAUAUCAGGAGGAAGACGAGCGGCGAAGGCGGCGCUCUGGGCCGGUACUGACACUGAGAAGCGAAAGCGUGGGUAGCAAACGGGAUUAGAAACCCGAGUAGUCC